rnacentral:misc_RNA from 1 species
GCAAACUUGGUCAUUUAGAGGAAGUAAAAGUCGUAACAAGGUUUCCGUAGGUGAACCUGCGGAAGGAUCAUUAACAAUUGUCCACGAUACUGGAUAAUUUUAUCCAUAUCCACCUUGUGUGAAUCAGCGAAAAGUGUUAUUGGCAGGUUCGGCUUCCUUUAUUGGAAUGCUGUGAGUUGGGCAUUGUCUCGCUCGGCCUGCCAAUUUUUUAUUACGUUUAAACCUGUCUAAAUAUUACCAGCCUGAAAUUUAUUAUUUUAUAAUAAAACACAACUUUCAACAACGGAUCUCUUGGCUCUCGCAUCGAUGAAGAACGCAGC